rnacentral:rRNA from 1 species
GACGAACGCUGGCGGCGUGCUUAACACAUGCAAGUCGAGCGGUAAGGCCCUUUCGGGGGUACACGAGCGGCGAACGGGUGAGUAACACGUGGGUGACCUGCCCUCAGCUCUGGGAUAAGCCUGGGAAACCGGGUCUAAUACCGGAUAUGACUCCAUGACGCAUGUUGUGGGGUGGAAAGCCUUGUGCGGCUGAGGAUGGGCCCGCGGCCUAUCAGCUUGUUGGUGGGGUGAUGGCCUACCAAGGCGACGACGGGUAGCCGGCCUGAGAGGGCGACCGGCCACACUGGGACUGAGACACGGCCCAGACUCCUACGGGAGGCAGCAGUGGGGAAUCUUGCGCAAUGGGCAAAGCCUGACGCAGCGACGCCGCGUGAGGGAUGACGGCCU